UACGUAGGGGGCAAGCGUUGUCCGGAAUCAUUGGGCGUAAAGAGCGUGUAGGCGGCCCGAUAAGUCCGCUGUGAAAAGUCCAGGGCUCAACCCUGGAAUGCCGGUGGAUACUGUCGGGCUCGAAUCCGGAAGAGGCGAGUGGAAUUCCUGGUGUAGCGGUGAAUGCGCAGAUAUCAGGAGGAACACCAGUAGCGAAAGGCAGGCUACGCUCGGUAC
rnacentral:rRNA from 1 species